rnacentral:rRNA from 1 species
GUUUACAGCCAUGCUACCUUGAACAAGCCCAAUCCCGUCUGAUCUUGGAAGCUAAGCAGGGUUGAGCCUGGUUUGUACUUGAAUGGGAGACCCCCUAGGAAGACCAGGUGCUAUAGGUG